rnacentral:rRNA from 1 species
GACGAACGCUGGCGGCGUGCUUAACACAUGCAAGUCGAACGGAAAGGCCCUGCUUUUGUGGGGUGCUCGAGUGGCGAACGGGUGAGUAACACGUGAGUAACCUGCCCUUGACUUUGGGAUAACUUCAGGAAACUGGGGCUAAUACCGGAUAGGAGCUCCUGCUGCAUGGUGGGGGUUGGAAAGUUUCGGCGGUUGGGGAUGGACUCGCGGCUUAUCAGCUUGUUGGUGGGGUAGUGGCUUACCAAGGCUUUGACGGGUAGCCGGCCUGAGAGGGUGACCGGGCACAUUGGGACUGAGAUACGGCCCAGACUCCUACGUGAGGCAGCAGUGGGGAAUAUUGCACAAUGGGGGGAAGCCUGAUGCAGCAACGCCGCGUGCGGGAUGACGGCCUUCGGGUUGUAAACCGCUUUCGCCUGUGACGAAGCGUGAGUGACGGUAAUGGGUAAAGAAGCACCGGCUAACUACGUG